UACGGGAGGCAGCAGUGGGGAAUAUUGCACAAUGGGCGGAAGCCUGAUGCAGCGACGCCGCGUGGGGGAUGAAGGCCUUCGGGUUGUAAACUCCUUUCGACAGGGACGAAGCUUUUGUGACGGUACCUGUAUAAGAAGCACCGGCUAACUACGUGCCAGCAGCCGCGGUAAUACGUAGGGUGCGAGCGUUGUCCGGAAUUACUGGGCGUAAAGAGCUCGUAGGUGGUUUGUCGCGUCGUCUGUGAAAUUCCGGGGCUUAACUCCGGGCGUGCAGGCGAUACGGGCUGACUUGAGUGCUGUAGGGGAGACUGGAAUUCCUGGUGUAGCGGUGAAAUGCGCAGAUAUCAGGAGGAACACCGAUGGCGAAGGCAGGUCUCUGGGCAGUAACUGACGCUGAGGAGCGAAAGCAUGGGUAGCGAACAGGAUUAGAUACCCUGGUAGUCCAUGCCGUAAACGGUGGGCGCUAGGUGUAGGGGGCUUCCACGUCUUCUGUGCCGUAGCUAACGCAUUAAGCGCCCCGCCUGGGGAGUACGGCCGCAAGGCUAAAACUCAAAGGAAAUUGACGGA
rnacentral:rRNA from 1 species